AAGAUAUUUUUCUUCUCCUACUCUUUGUGGCUUUGGAAAGGCCCACCGCAUUGAACCGUCGAAAUCCAAAACGCCAGGCAAUUUUAUAGGAAUUUAGGCUUCUGCAUUAAUCCGCAUCUCAGGUUGCGCCCAAAGUACAUUUAAAUUGCUCCACAAUUAUCUGCCUGGCACAACCACACUCACACCUGCUGCUUUGAGAGGAGCAGCCGAAAAAGCUGGUUCUGCUCGUUCCUCUUUUUCACCGUUGGCACUCGAUGGGUGCCAGCCUGUAGAGGUGCCACGCAACUUCCCGCUGGCCACAAAGCCAGAAUAAAGGCAGUUUGUUUCAAAAUCAUUCCACCAUGAGCUGGUUUGGAGGGGGUGCCGUUACCCAGAUGUGGGGAGGGAAGCCCCCCUGGAAUUCCUGACUUAAAGUCAUUGCUCAAGGAACCUAUUUUGGAGGAUCCUUCAAGAGAACGUGGACUCCUAGUGACAUCCUGCGCCAGUCCCUGUAGUUUUCUUGGCAAAGCUUUCUGGAAGUGGUUUGCCAUUGCCUCUUUCCCAGGGCUGAGAGAAAACGACUGGCCCAAGGUCCUCCAGCUGGCUUUGUGCCUAAGAUAGGACUAGAACUCACCGUCUCCUGGCUUCUAGCGGGAUGCCCAAACGCUACACUAAACAAGCAUUAAAUAAGUGGAUGGAAAAGGAUGUGGCUGUGAGACUGCAGGCGCUUCGAUGGGACCUCCAGGGAUUAAUUUCACUAAAGAAGGAGGAGGAAAGCCAGGUACAUACGGAAGACAAACCAUCAGUCUUCAUUUUCAGCUGUUAGGUUUUAAUUUGCACUGAACUUUUUGCUCGAGAAGCGACAGAUCGGAAGCUGACUGCUCAAGCACCCUCAUGGCGAGGUUUUCAAUUAAGCUGAAGAACAUUGUUUACUGGGCAUCAAAUGGGCCCUUGGAGAAGAAAAGAUAAAUUUGUAGACUGAACCAGGUGGAACCAGCCAGCUCAGUGUUCAACAGCCUCUCCCUGUCUCUAAUGCAGUGUUUCUCAACCUUGGCAAUUUAAGAUAUGCAGACUUCGAUUCCCAGAAUUUCCCCAGCCACGCUUACGACUUAACAACCAUUCAUUUAAUCUGUUCAAAGUUACAACGGCACCGGAAAAAGCCAAUUAGCCCUGUUUUUCAUCCUUACGGCCGCGGCAGCAUCCUCUAAGUCACACGAUCAAAAUUCAGACCCUUGGCAACUGACUCAUAUAUACGACGGUUGCAGCGUCCUGGGUGUGUGUGUGUGUGUCCUGUGAUCCCCUUUUGCAACUUUCUGACAAGCAAAAUCCAUGGGGAAGCUGUGUUCACUUGACGAGAGUGUUGCCGACUACACAACUGCAGGGAUGGACUUAUCAACUCUGGCGAGAGAGGUCGUAAAAUGGAGGCAAAGCUCGUUUAGCCACUGGACGUGGUCGAUUGUUUGAAGAAUAUAAAAGAAUAUUGAUAGUUUGAACUGAGUUGCAUUCCAUGAGGACAUUUGUGUUGUGGUUGACAAAGUUAAACUGGCAGUGGGGACUGAUUGAAACCCUGUUCUUUUAAAUGCUUGUCUCGUUUAUUUUUAAUUAACUCAGAAGUUCUGCCUUGGCCCGCAAACUUAUCAGGACAAUAUGGCGAAAGCUGGAGUGAUAAUAAAGACUUCAGAUCCAACUUGGCUUUUUAAGGGCUUAAGGGACUUAUUCAUGCAGUUUUCUUGGCUGCAAGAUGGAAGUGAUUUGUCACUGUGUUCUUGGUGAUUUAUUUUUUUUAAAACUUUGUACUUAAGCCAACAGCUCCAAUGUUUUCUGCUCAUCUCCCAUCCAAAUGCUGACCGGGACUGACCCUGUAUAGCUUCCAAGCUCAGACAAAGACAUUUAUCACCACCCACUGAUAUCAGAGUAAUACUUAAACCAACAAGCAUAAGCUAAAGUUUAGCAGUUUAGUCUACAUUUUUAUAAAAAUGGGGAAACAUCAGGUUGACUCCAAGAAAGAGAGAGAGAAAAUCCUAAAAUCCCAAUUAAAGCAAAAUUAGGCCAACAGAAGGACUGUUGCAAAAUGCAAAUUUCUGAGAAUUCUUCGUGAAAGGGUUAAAGGAACCGGUUUGGUCUAGUCGUUAAAGCACCCGGUUAGAAAGCAGGAGACUGUGAAUUCUAGUCCUGGCCUUAGCCAUGAAUGCCAACUGAGUGACUUUGGGCCAAUCACCAGGAGACAGUGAGUUCUAGUUCCAUCUUAGGCA